UAGGGGAUAUUGCACAAUGGGCGGAAGCCUGAUGCAGCAACGCCGCGUGAGUGAUGAAGGCCCUCGGGUCGUAAAACUCUUUUCAAGAGGAAGAGGAAGGACGGUACUCUUGGAAUAAGCCUCGGCUAACUACGUGCCAGCAGCCGCGGUAACACGUAGGAUGCGAGCGUUAUUCGGUUUUACUGGGCGUAAAGCGAGUGUAGGCGGAUGAUCAAGUUGGAUGUGAAAGCUCCCGGAUUAACUGGGAGAGGACGUACAAAACUGAACAGCUGGAGUAUGAGAGAGGAAA
rnacentral:rRNA from 1 species